rnacentral:rRNA from 1 species
GACGAACGCUGGCGGCGUGCUUAACACAUGCAAGUCGAACGGAAAGGCCUGUCCUUCCUUGUGUUGGACGGGUACUCGAGUGGCGAACGGGUGAGUAACACGUGAGUGAUCUGCCCCCAACUUGGGUAUAAGCCUGGGAAACUUGGUCUAAUUCCCGAUAGGACUGCAGGGUGGUGCCUGUGGUGGAAAACGAUUUUCUAGUGGUUGGGGAUGAGCUCGCGGCCUAUCAGCUUGUUGGUGGGGUAAUGGCCUACCAAGGCGGCGACGGGUAGCCGGCCUGGGAGGGUGGACGGCCACAUUUGGACUGAGAUACGGCCCAGACUCCGACGGGAGGCAGCAGUGGGGAAUAUUGCACAAUGGGCGGAAGCCUGAUGCAGCGACGCCGCGUGGGGGAUGACGGCCUUCGGGUUGUAAACUCCUUUCGACCGCGAGGAAGCCGCCUGGUUGGAAGGGUGGUGACGGUAGUGGUAGAAGAAGCACCGGCUAACUACGUG